rnacentral:rRNA from 1 species
UACAUAGGGUGCGAGCGUUAAUCGGAAUUACUGGGCGUAAAGCGUACGCAGGCGGCUAUGCAAGACAGGUGUGAAAUCCCCGGGCUUAACCUGGGAACUGCAUUUGUGACUGCAUAGCUAGAGUUUGUCAGAGGGGGGUGGAAUUCCACGUGUAGCAGUGAAAUGCGUAGAGAUGUGGAGGAACACCGAUGGCGAAGGCAGCCCCCUGGGACCUGACUGACGCUCAUGUACGAAAGCGUGGGGAGCAAACAGG